GUGCUUGCUUCAGUAGCACAUAUACUAAAAUUGGAACUAUACAGAGAAGAUUAGCAUGGCCCCUGCACAAGGAUGACAUGCAAAUUCGUGAAGUGUUCCAUAUUUUU
rnacentral:snRNA from 1 species